CAUCUUGUGAGCAUCUGGGCCAAGUUCAGGGCUGGUGCUCUCGUUCAGAUAGAUUUAGCUGGUGGUGCAGAGAUCCGUGAGCUUGCUUUUACAGGACUUUAAUGAUAUAUAAAAGCAGCACGAGGUGCUCCUGACUGUGGAUUAAUUUGGAGAUGACUUUCUCUGUUGAAGAGUAGCAAGACUCUCGCGAGUUCUUAAAAAUGCACUUGUUUGGUAUGAGAAUGAAAAGCAGUGGCUGAAGAACCAAUCUUCAAUGGGCAAGCCUUCUCUGGGUCUUGCUCCGUCACCGAGUCUGGAGUGCAGUGGUAUGAUUAUGGCUUACUUGAACUUCUGGGCUCAAGCAAUCCUCCCACCUCAGCCUCCAGAAUAGCUGGGACUAUAAGUGUGGAUCAUCAACCCUGGCUAAUUUUUUGAUUUUUUAUAGAGACGAGGUCUCACCAUGUUGCCCAGACAAGUCUUUAACUCCUGGGCUCAAGCAAUCCUCCCACCUCAGCCUCCUAAAGUGCCGGGAUUACAGGCAUGAGCCACUGUGCCUGACUUCCAGAUUUGCAUCUUAAAGGGCUGUUCCAUUGAAUGUCUGUUCUAACACGUGCCAUUUGGGAUCCCUUGGAAUCUUCAUGUACAGAACUGGUUGCUGCCUCGUUGAGUCGGUGGGGACAGAAUAGCUCCUGGUUGACAGCAUGGGUUGUGCAGAAGGACGGAUCCUGCAGACAUCAAUAUCUGGCUUUGAGUGGCACAAAGAAAUAAAGGAAUGUGGAUUCAGACCUCACUGGGAUGCUUGGCAAUUCUAAUUCUACCCCAGACUGCAAAUGGACACACAACUGUUGUGACUUUUGUUGAAGAGGAGAAGGAUGGGUGAGCAUGUGACGUUGGGAAAUUGUAUUUUCUUCUUCGAGUUCUUCUGUUUCCGAAUAUUUAAUCCUACUGUUUUCUUCUUUAGUGAAGGUCUCUUUAGUCAAUAAUCUCUUUGCUGAAAUUGCUUCGGGCAGCACAGAAGCUGGAUUCAGAAGCACACAGGUCUGGGGAUGCAGGCUUCGGCCAGCCUGAUGCAAGGAAAGACUGCCAUCUCGUGGUCAGCUCAAUCCUGGCACCUUGGUGAGGGACCAGGCUGCAGAAAACCAGGCUUGGGGAGGAAACGGUGCUGCAAACUGGAUUUCUGCCGGACAGUGUGGAUGCCCUUAGAAAACACCCAGAAAAGAGCUGAGUGCCCCCCAAGACUUGCCCUGAAUUCUUUCAUGUGCAAUAUCCGAAAACCCUCUCUUGGGGCCUGGAUCAGGACCCCUUUCCUAUAACAUCUUUCUGGCGACAACAAAGGGACAAUGGUGUGGAAUCCCCCUUCCCAAAUGCUACUUUUAGAUAUCACCUUUUGUCGGAACUUGGAGUUGGUAAUGACCUUCACCAUACCACCACUCUGGGACUGAGCUUCUCUCUACCCUGAUGCAAGAGACCCUAAUAGGCAGGAAUAUGACCACCCCUAUUCAGCCUGAAGAAGUUACAGAAGUUCUGAAACCCUUAGAAAUGAGGGUCUUCUUGUAAAGGGAGUGGGGAGAUAUAUCAGAGGCAUUUGAACCAGAGCAACUCCAUCUUGAGUGAGGGCUAGGAAAAUGAGGCUAGGACUUGCUGGGCUGCAUUCUCAGAAAGUCAGUCAUUCCUAGCCUCUAGAUGUUUACGGUUAAGGGAACAAAUUUAUAACAUUUACUAAACACACCCAGACUUGGGAGUGUCCAGAUAUCCCAAUAUCUGGAGAACAAAGGCAUUCCUAAUUUUGCUUUAAAGACAAUAAUAUUGAUUCUUGCAAAAUAUAGUAAUUAAGAAAAUUAAUCCUUUAUCACAAACCCUUGUAGUAAAACACAUCUCCCCAUAUAUACAAGCAUUGUACCUAAGGUGGAUGCGUUCCAUCUCUUACUUUCAGGAAUGUCCUACACUAUCUAAGGAGUAGCUGUACUUUCACCACUUUACUUUCUUAAUAAACUUGUUU
rnacentral:lncRNA from 1 species